rnacentral:rRNA from 1 species
AGAGUUUGAUCCUGGCUCAGAGCGAACGCUGGCGGCAGGCUUAACACAUGCAAGUCGAACGGGCGUAGCAAUACGUCAGUGGCAGACGGGUGAGUAACGCGUGGGAACGUACCUUUUGGUUCGGAACAACUGAGGGAAACUUCAGCUAAUACCGGAUAAGCCCUUACGGGGAAAGAUUUAUCGCCGAAAGAUCGGCCCGCGUCUGAUUAGCUAGUUGGUGGGGUAAUGGCCCACCAAGGCGACGAUCAGUAGCUGGUCUGAGAGGAUGAUCAGCCACAUUGGGACUGAGACACGGCCCAAACUCCUACGGGAGGCAGCAGUGGGGAAUAUUGGACAAUGGGGGCAACCCUGAUCCAGCCAUGCCGCGUGAGUGAUGAAGGCCCUAGGGUUGUAAAGCUCUUUUGUGCGGGAAGAUAAUGACGGUACCGCAAGAAUAAGCCCCGGCUAACUUCGUGCCAGCAGCCGCGGUAAUACGAAGGGGGCUAGCGUUGCUCGGAAUCACUGGGCGUAAAGGGUGCGUAGGCGGGUUUCUAAGUCAGAGGUGAAAGCCUGGAGCUCAACUCCAGAACUGCCUUUGAUACUGGAAGUCUUGAGUAUGGCAGAGGUGAGUGGAACUGCGAGUGUAGAGGUGAAAUUCGUAGAUAUUCGCAAGAACACCAGUGGCGAAGGCGGCUCACUGGGCCAUUACUGACGCUGAGGCACGAAAGCGUGGGGAGCAAACAGGAUUAGAUACCCUGGUAGUCCACGCCG